rnacentral:lncRNA from 1 species
UAUUUGGUUUUCUUGAGUUUUACGCAGUUUGACAUUUCAUUGUUCCUUCAAUGCACUUCAUAUGAUAUCAGUAAUUCCAUAAAUUUUUUCUUCUUUCAGGUGGCUUUAGGAAGACAUGUUUUCCAAAACCUUCAAAAUAGGCUGGUGCAGUCCUACCAACAGCAGCCCUUGGACCUUGAUCAUAUUGAGUUCCUCUGCGUGAACGCAUCAACUCUAGUCUGUUCUCUUUCUGCUCAUAUUAAUGUUCCAUCACUGGUAGUUGAAGCUCUUCACCACCUCAUCUGCCUCAUCCAUUCCAAUAUGGAUACAAGAAGGUCUGCCAUUGUUGUUGACAGCUCAGCUGGUGAACGGGGGAGGGCAAAGCUCUAUGUUUCCAAAGACCACCUCAAAGAUCUACUAAAGAUGGACCUCUCCGUUUCUUGUAUCUCCAAGCUUUUGGGCAUAUCGCAGAAAACAGUCCGACGAAGAAUGGAAGAGUGGGGCCUCUCAAUAACGGCAACCUACAGCUCACUAUCAGAUGAUGAACUUGACAACUUAAUUGCAGCCAUAAAACAGGAAUCGAAAGAUCUGGGUUAGUUAUUCAUGUAAAAAAUAAUGCUGGUAAUAAGAUUCUAUUUUAUUUUUCUUGCUAGCAACCUUUCAUAUUUACAUGAAUAACACUAGCUGAAUGUCAUGAUUAGUUAGUAGUUUGAUUUACUGUACUAUAAGUGCCUUCCAAUGUGCUGUUGUAAUUGUUUCACUAUGGGAUGUCUUUUUAGGCUACAGAAUGGUUAAAGGCCGCCUCAGGGCACUGGGCCACAGGGUGCAGUGGAACAGAGUAUGGGAUUCCAUGCGUCGUGUUGACAGUGCUGGAAUCCUUGAAAGGAUGGCAAAUCUUGGAUGUGUUAUUAGAAGGACAUACAGUGUUCCUGGUCCUCUGUCACUGCUCCACAUUGACACCAACUAUAAGUUAAUUAGGUAAGUUUAACAUAACUCAAUAGUCAUAGGGCACAUUUGGGCUCAUUAAUAUUUAACUCAUUCAUGCAUAUGCAAAAACUGUAUUUUACAUUACGCCAUUACUUUACCACCAAGUUAGCAGUUUCUCUAAAUUCUAACAGAUUAAGAGAAGUUCACCAGCCUUUGCAUGCAUUUAGAAAUGUGUGAUCCACUUUCAAAUUUGACAAGUCCUAACUUGUAAUGUUUUAUAUUUUGAUUAUUGGUGAAAAAUGCAAUUAAUUAAUUAUACUCAGUGGCUGAAGUCUUAGGGACUGUGUCUUUGUCUCUUUACAGAUAUGGACUUGUGAUGUUUGGUGUUGUUGAUGGCUUCUCAAGGAAGGUUUGCAUUCUUCACUAAAAUAGCAGAAAAUGUGAUGCUAGUACUAGUACUUCCAUAAUGGCUCUUUAUUUUCAGAUCUUGUACUUGAAAGCAGCUAACAACAACAAGGCUUCUACAGCACUGACGUUCUUGCUUGAGGCUGUACAGAAGCAUGGAUUUCCAUCGAGGUAUAAUGUGAUAGGUUUAUAGCAUAAACCUACUCGCUGGAACGUUCAGGACAAUUUGCUACACAGCAGAAACAAGACACAAGUAGGCAAAGUUCUUUGUAGUACUCAUGCAUGAGGGAGACCUGCCUGGAGCCAAGUGUCGUUCCACCCACUUGACCUCCAUCAGACUCUCAGCCAGGUUCCCCAUAGCACUCCUUUUAUUGUGGUUACAUGAAUAUGCAUAGGGUCAUUAACAUAUGAUGUAUACAUGUGGACAAAGAAUACCGUGUGUGUGUGUGUGUGUGUGUGUGUGUGUGUGUGUGUGUGUGUGUGGGGUCAAGAUAUGACCCCAUGAAGACUCCCCAAAGCUGGUGCCAGGAGUCUAGCGGUCCAUCUAAACAAAAGGCACUUAGACUAAAACAGAUAUAUGUGUGUUUGCUAUACCAUAUAUCAGCAAGAAAAGAUACGACCUCUCCUAGGAGGUGUGUGAUCUAUGCCAGAACACUCUGAAGAGGAGUGAACGCACUCCCCUCUUCAUGCUACACAGAGUUGUUACAGACCUCCUGGGAUGAGACCUUCUUUCAAUAUGCCAUCAA